rnacentral:tRNA from 1 species
GGCGGUAUAGCUCAGUUGGCUAGAGCAUUCGGUUCAUACCCGGAGUGUCAUUGGUUCGAAUCCAAUUACCGCUACCA